UAUCGGCGUACAUCACCGGGAACGUGUUCCCACCGAGGUGCCGAGAGGGGCAAGCCUCGGCAACCCUCUCCGCAAGGAAGAAAGCCGGAACAUCAAGUGUUGAGUAGGGUUUGGUAGGCUCUCGCUCGAAGAACCCGGACUCU
rnacentral:sRNA from 12 species